GACGUAGGGCGCGAGCGUUGUCCGGAUUUAUUGGGCGUAAAGAGCUCGUAGGCGGCUUGUCGCGUCAGCCGUGAAAACCUGCAGCUUAACUGUGGGCUUGCGGUCGAUACGGGCAUCACUGGAGUUCGGCAGGGGAGACUGGAAUUCCUGGUGUAGCGGUGAAAUGCGCAGAUAUCAGGAGGAACACCGGUGGCGAAGGCGGGUCUCUGGGCCGAUACUGACGCUGAGGAGCGAAAGCGUGGGGAGCGAACAGG
rnacentral:rRNA from 1 species